GGUGAAACGGGAUCAGCUGGGGAGCCUGGUGCGGAAGGGAAACCUGGAAUAAAUGGUUUGAAAGGAGACUCAGGUCCUAUUGGCCCCAAAGGUGAUCAAGGCGAUACGGGUCUUCAAGGUCUGCCUGGUCUCAGUGU